GACGAACGCUGGCGGCGUGCUUAACACAUGCAAGUCGAACGGAAAGGCCCUGCUUUUGUGGGGUGCUCGAGUGGCGAACGGGUGAGUAACACGUGAGUAACCUGCCCCUGACUUUGGGAUAACUUCAGGAAACUGGGGCUAAUACCGGAUAGGAGCUCCUGCUGCAUGGUGGGGGUUGGAAAGUUUCGGCGGUUGGGGUGGGACUCGCGGCUUAUCAGCUUGUUGGUGGGGUAGUGGCUUACCAAGGCUUUGACGGGUAGCCGGCCUGAGAGGGUGACCGGCCACAUUGGGACUGAGAUACGGCCCAGACUCCUACGGGAGGCAGCAGUGGGGAAUAUUGCACAAUGGGCGGAAGCCUGAUGCAGCAACGCAGCGUGCGGGAUGAGGGCCUUCGGGUUGUAAACCGCUUUCGCCUGUGACGAAGCGUGAGUGACGGUAAUGGGUAAAGAAGCACCGGCUAACUACGUG
rnacentral:rRNA from 1 species